UGAAUACGAGAUGCUACGGCGUCGAAGCAGUCUAUGUCAUACUUCCAAGAAAAGCUUGCACUGUCAUAAACAAAUAAUGCCUGUACCAUAACCGACACAGGUGGGUAGGUAGAGUAUACUAAGGGGCGCGAGAUAACUCUCUCUAAGGAACUCGGCAAAAUGACUCCGUAACUUCGGGAGAAGGAGUGCCUUAUUUAUAAGGUUGCAAUAACAAGAUCCAAGCAACUGUUUACCAAAAACACAGGUCUCCGCUAAGUCGUAAGACGAUGUAUGGGGGCUGACGCCUGCCCAGUGCCAGAAGGUUAAAGAAGUUGGUUAGCAUCCGCGAAGCUGAUAACUGAAGCCCUGGUGAACGGCGGCCGUAACGAUAACGGUCCUAAGGUAGCGAAAUUCCUUGUCGGGUAAGUUCCGACCCGCACGAAAGGCGUAAUGAUUUGGAUACUGUCUCGGAGAGGGGCUCGGUGAAAUAGACUUGUCUGUGAAGAUGCGGACUACCUGCACCAGGACAGAAAGACCCUAUGAAGCUUUACUGUAACCUGAAAUUGAAAUUGGACUUUACUUGCGCAGUAUAGGUGGGAGGCGUUGAGAAUAUUCUUGCGGGAUUAUUGGAGCCAUCAGUGAGAUACCACUCUUGUAAUGUUAGAUUUCUAACUUUGUAUCAUUAUCUGGUCAAAGAACAGUUUCAGGCGGGCAGUUUGACUGGGGCGGUCGCCUCCUAAACGGUAACGGAGGCGCACAAAGGUUUCCUCUGAACGGGUAGAAAUCGUAUCUAGAGUGUAAAGGCAUAAGGAAGCUUGACUGUGAGACCUACAAGUCGAGCAGGGACGAAAGUCGGUCUUAGUGAUCUGACGGUGCUGAGUGGAAAGGCCGUCACUCAACGGAUAAAAGUUACUCUAAGGAUAACAGGCUGAUCUCCCCCAAGAGUUCACAUCGACGGGGAGGUUUGGCACCUCGAUGUCGGCUCAUCGCAUCCUGGGGCGGUAGUACGUCCCAAGGGUUGGGCUGUUCGCCCAUGAAAGCGGUACGCGAGCUGGGUUCAGAACGUCGUGAGACAGUUCGGUCCAUAUCCGGUGUAGGCGUUAGAAUAUUGAGAGGAGCCUUCUUUAGUACGAGAGGACCGAGAAGGACAUACCUCUGGUGUACCAGUUAUCGUGCCAACGGUAAACGCUGGGUAGCUAUGUGUGGAGUGGAUAACCGCUGAAAGCAUCUAAGUGGGAAGCCCACCUCAAGAUGAGUACUCCCAUGGGGUUAACCCAGUAAGGUCACGGGAAGACCACCCGUUUAUAGGUUCUAGAUGGAAGCGCAGCAAUGUGUGAAGUCGAGGGAUACUAAUAGACCGAGGGC
rnacentral:rRNA from 1 species